rnacentral:snRNA from 3 species
AUGCUCACUUCAGUAACACAUAUGCUAAAAUUGUAACAAUAUGGAGAAGAUUAGUGUGGCUCCUGUGCAAGGAUGACAUGCAAAUUCUUGAAGCGUUCCACACUACU